rnacentral:rRNA from 1 species
UACGGAGGGUGCGAGCGUUGUCCGGAAUCACUGGGCGUAAAGGGCGCGUAGGCGGCCUGAUAAGUAGGGGGUGAAAUCCUGCGGCUUAACCGCAGGGCUGCCUUCUAAACUGUCAGGCUUGAGCACAGUAGAGGCAGGUGGAAUUCCCGGUGUAGCGGUGGAAUGCGUAGAGAUGCGGAGGAACACCGAUGGCGAAGGCAGCCCCCUGGGCUGACACUGACGCUCAGGCACGAAAGCGUGGGGAGCAAACAGG